rnacentral:rRNA from 1 species
GAACGGGUGAGUAACACGUGGGCAAUCUGCCCUGCACUCUGGGACAAGCCCUGGAAACGGGGUCUAAUACCGGAUACUGAUCCUCGUGGGCAUCCGUGGGGUUCGAAAGCUCCGGCGGUGCAGGAUGAGCCCGCGGCCUAUCAGCUUGUUGGUGAGGUAAUGGCUCACCAAGGCGACGACGGGUAGCCGGCCUGAGAGGGCGACCGGCCACACUGGGACUGAGACACGGCCCAGACUCCUACGGGAGGCAGCAGUGGGGAAUAUUGCACAAUGGGCGAAAGCCUGAUGCAGCGACGCCGCGUGAGGGAUGACGGCCUUCGGGUUGUAAACCUCUUUCAGCAGGGAAGAAGCGAAAGUGACGGUACCUGCAGAAGAAGCGCCGGCUAACUACGUGCCAGCAGCCGCGGUAAUACGUAGGGCGCGAGCGUUGUCCGGAAUUAUUGGGCGUAAAGAGCUCGUAGGCGGCUUGUCACGUCGGUUGUGAAAGCCCGGGGCUUAACCCCGGGUCUGCAGUCGAUACGGGCAGGCUAGAGUUCGGUAGGGGAGAUCGGAAUUCCUGGUGUAGCGGUGAAAUGCGCAGAUAUCAGGAGGAACACCGGUGGCGAAGGCGGAUCUCUGGGCCGAUACUGACGCUGAGGAGCGAAAGCGUGGGGAGCGAACAGGAUUAGAUACCCUGGUAG